GCCAGGUGUGGUGGCUCAUGCCUGUAAUCCCAGUGGCUUGGGAGGCUGAGGCAGGAGGAUCAUGAGUCCAAAGCCAGCCUCAGCAAAAAGCAAGAUGCUAAGCAACUCAGUGAGACCCUGUCUCUA
rnacentral:sRNA from 1 species